CAAUGCAAAGGCUCAUGCCUGCAAGCUGAUGGGAAGACAGCUGGUGAACUCCUUCACAGAGUCUGGCAUUUCCUGGCAACAUUGAGCAGCUCCCUCUCUGGCCACAGUCUUUGAACUUGAGGCCAGGCAUGUCCAGAAGGUGCCAGCGUGUGCAUAUCUUAUGACCGACCCAUCCUUGUGGUGAUGAGCAAUGAGAAGGAGCGAGCGGAUCAGGAUUGAAUUAGAAGGUGCUGAGGAAGAUACAAAGCUCCAAAUUUGGAAAACAACAGUGAAACUCCACAGAUUUCCAGGCUCUGUUCUAGGUGUUAAGGAUUCAAAGAAGAAGGGAGAAGAGGCUCCUUAUCAGACCCAACUGUGCAACCUGUAUGCCAGUACAGUAUGGAGACCGCCACUACCAGGACUGAAAACACCAAGCCAGGGCAUCCCCUCGGAUGCUUACUCCUACUUAGAGCUUGUGAAUGUACUAUCCAACAUCUGGCCCCAGCAAAUUUUGCAUCUCAGAAUUUCUCCACAGCUCACAUCAUGAUUUUGUAUUCUCUUUGCAUACCUUUCACUUAUUUUCGGGGUGUGGAAGUAAUAUUUCAUUACAGUAUCUGUGAUCCACACAAUGUGAGGAAUAAGGAAAAUUAUUGUCUCCAACUAGAAAAUUAGAUAAUGUAACUAGAUUUCUUUGUAUUUUUCAUUAGCAAUUGCUACUCGUGUGUCAUUCUGAGGGAAAUCAACAAAUUUAAUUUCGUUGCUUUUGGUUUCCUUUGCACUUGUUAAAGAAGAAAGAGGCUAGUGAGAUUUCCAUCCUGGGCCUCUCUGCCCUUGGACAGCAUGGGAGACAGAGGCCAUGCCCUAAGUUUUCCCUAACACAGGAGCUCAGAAGUUGCUCCUGGCUGCUCAGGCAGGUCUUAAGGACAGCUGUCAUCUGUGCCACAACACCAGGCAGGCAAUGAGGACACAGCGUUCACCUCAAGGCAGCUGAGGAAGACUCUGUGACACUGACGUGGUUGCUGGCUCCACAUCCCACACCUGGAAUGUAAACAUGCAGACCAACACCUGUGCGUUGCUGUAAACUGGGCCCUGUGUUGAGGAACAGCGUAGACCCAGGCUCAGUUCCUUGGAGAUAAGCUUGGUUAGCUUCUCUGCAUUUUUCUUGGCCAAGCCUAGCCGUGAUGAAGAACCUGAGCCACAACAAGCAGACAUUCUCUCUCUUUUUUUUCUUUUGAGGAAGAUUAGUCCUGAGCUAACAUCCACAGCCAAUCCUCCUCUUUUUUUGCUGAGGAAGACUGGCCCUGAGCUAACAUCCAUGCCCAUCUUUCUCUAUUUUAUAUGUGGGACGCCUGCCACAGCAUGGCUUGAUAAGCGGUGUGUAGGUCUGCACCUGGGAUCUGAACCAGCACACCCCCGGCCACCGAAGCAGAGCAUGCAAACUUAACUGCUGCACCAUGGGCUGGCCCCAGACAUUCUCAUUUUUAUUUUAACCCUUGUGCUUGUUACAUGGCCCUAGCUGUCCCAGCCCUGCCUCCCUCCACACUCCCUGCCUCAGAAACAACAUUUCUGCAUGGAACUGCAUCCCUUUGUUUUGCUUUCCCCAACUGUGCUGGAAUUGUUUAACCCUUCGUGACAGUCUUAGAGGAAAAUGGCUAUAUGAUGCAUCUUUUAUUUCCUAAGUUAUAACUAUAGAUAAAAAUCUAAUAGAUAACUUUAUUUAUAUAAUUAUAGAUAAUUAUAACCA
rnacentral:lncRNA from 1 species